CCUACGGGUGGCAGCAGUGGGGAAUAUUGCACAAUGGGGGAAACCCUGAUGCAGCGACGCCGCGUGAGUGAAGAAGUAUUUCGGUAUGUAAAGCUCUAUCAGCAGGGAAGAAGAAAGACGGUACCUGACUACGAAGCCCCGGCUAACUACGUGCCAGCAGCCGCGGUAAUCCGUAGGGGGCAAGCGUUAUCCGGAUUUACUGGGUGGAAAGGGAGCGUAGACGGCUGUGCAAGUCUGAAGUGAAAGCCCAGGGCUCAACCCUGGGACUGCUUUGGAAACUGUGGAGCUGGAGUGCUGGAGAGGUAAGUGGAAUUCCUAGUGUAGCGGUGAAAUGCGUAGAUAUUAGGAGGAACACCAGUGGCGAAGGCGGCUUACUGGACAGUAACUGACGUUGAGGCUCGAAAGCGUGGGGAGCAAACAGGAUUAGAUACCCUUGUAGUC
rnacentral:rRNA from 1 species